AUAACUUUGAAUUUAUUUCAAAAUAAAAAAAUUAAAAUAUAUAUUAAAAAAAAGUAAAUGGAUGGCAUUGCACUCCGGAUGUGCUGGCCCCUGAGAUUUCCCUAAGUGUGGGAAACUCGACUGCAUAAUUUGUGGUAGGGGGGAAUGCGUUCACGCUCCCCCCCA